rnacentral:rRNA from 1 species
CCCGACUGCUAUCGGAUUGAGAUUUAGCCAUGCGAGUCGAACGUCCCCCUGUUGCGGGGGGCGUGGCGUACGGCUCAGUAACACGUAGUCAACCUGCCCUGGAGACAUGGACAACCCCGGGAAACUGGGAUUAAUCCGUGAUAGGCCACCUCAUCUGGAAGGAGAGAUGGCUCAAAGGGGCGCGCGAGCUUCUUUCGUGCGUUUGCUCCAGGAUGGGACUGCGUCCGAUCAGUCUGUUGGCGGGGUAAUGGCCCACCAAACCUGUAACCGGUACGGGCCUUGAGAGAGGGGGCCCGGAGAUGGACACUGAGAGAAGGGUCCAGGUCCUACGGGGCGCAGCAGGCGCGAAACCUUCGCAAUGCGCGAAAGCGCGACGAGGUUAAUCCGAGUGAUACCCCGCUGAGGGGAUCUUUUGUCAGCUGUAAAUUGUCAGGCGCAUACACGGGGAGG